rnacentral:rRNA from 1 species
GGGCCCGCACAAGCGGUGGAGCAUGUGGUUCAAUUCGACGCAACGCGAAGAACCUUACCUGGGCUCGAACGGCUUAAGACAGACUGUGGAAACAUGGUUUUCCCGCAAGGGACUUGAGUCGAGGUGCUGCAUGGCUGUCGUCAGCUCGUGUCGUGAGAUGUUGGGUUAAGUCCCGCAACGAGCGCAACCCUUGUCCUGUGUUGCCAUCAUUUAGUUGGGCACUCUCAGGAGACCGCCAGCGAUAAGUUGGAGGAAGGUGGGGAUGAUGUCAAGUCAUCAUGGCCUUUAUGUCCAGGGCUACACACGUGCUACAAUGGACGGUACAAAGCGCUGCAAACCCGCGAGGGGGAGCUAAUCGCAAAAAACCGUUCUCAGUUCGGAUCGCAGGCUGCAACUCGCCUGCGUGAAGCUGGAAUCGCUAGUAAUGGCGUAUCAGAACGAUGCCGUGAAUACGUUCCCGGGCCUU